rnacentral:tRNA from 3 species
GGCCCGUUGGAGAAGCGGUUAACUCACAUGCCUCUCACGCAUGGAUUCGCGGGUUCGAACCCCGUACGGGCUACCA